rnacentral:rRNA from 1 species
GGGCCCGCACAAGCGGUGGAGUAUGUGGUUUAAUUCGAUGCAACGCGAAGAACCUUACCAGGGUUUGACAUCCUGCGAAUCUCUUGGAAACAGGAGAGUGCCUUCGGGAACGCAGUGACAGGUGGUGCAUGGCUGUCGUCAGCUCGUGUCGUGAGAUGUUGGGUUAAGUCCCGCAACGAGCGCAACCCACGUCUUUAGUUGCCAGCAUUUAGUUGGGCACUCUAGAGAGACUGCCGGUGAUAAACCGGAGAAGGUGUGGAUGACGUCAAGUCAUCAUGCCCCUUACAUCUGGGCUACACACGUACUACAAUGCUACGGACAAAGGGCAGCAAACUCGCGAGAGCUAGCAAAUCCCAUAAACGUGGCUCAG